rnacentral:rRNA from 1 species
AUUGAACGCUGGCGGCAUGCUUUACACAUGCAAGUCGAACGGCAGCGCGGGCUUCGGCCUGGCGGCGAGUGGCGAACGGGUGAGUAAUGCAUCGGAACGUGCCCAGUAGUGGGGGAUAGCCCGGCGAAAGCCGGAUUAAUACCGCAUACGACCUGAGGGUGAAAGCGGGGGACCGAAAGGCCUCGCGCUAUUGGAGCGGCCGAUGUCGGAUUAGCUAGUUGGUGGGGUAAAGGCUUACCAAGGCGACGAUCCGUAGCUGGUCGGAGAGGACGACCAGCCACACUGGGACUGGGACACGGCCCAGACGACUACGGGAGGCAGCAGUGGGGAAUUUUGGACAAUGGGGGCGACCCUGGUCCAGCCAUGCCGCGUGCGGGAAGAAGGCCUUGGGGUUGUAAACCGCUUUUGUUCGGGAAGAAAUCCUCUGGGCUAAUACCCCGGGGGGAUGACGGUACCGGAAGAAUAAGCACCGGCUAACUACGUG